GAUGAACGCUGGCGGCGUGCCUAAUACAUGCAAGUCGAGCGAACGGACGAGAAGCUUGCUUCUCUGAUGUUAGCGGCGGACGGGUGAGUGACACGUGGAUAACCUACCUAUAAGACUGGGAUAACUUCGGGAAACCGGAGCUAAUACCGGAUAAUAUUUUGAACCGCAUGGUUCAAAAGUGAAAGACGGUCUUGCUGUCACUUAUAGAUGGAUCCGCGCUGCAUUAGCUAGUUGGUAAGGUAACGGCUUACCAAGGCAACGAUGCAUAGCCGACCUGAGAGGGUGACCGGCCACACUGGAACGAGGACACGGUCCCAACCCCUACGGGAGGCAGGAGUAGGAAAUCUUCCGCAAUGGGCGAAAGCCUGAAGGGGAAACGCCGGGGGAGGAAGGAAGGUUUUCGGUUCGUAAAACUCUUUUAUUAGGGAAAAAAAUAUGUUUAAGUAACUGGGCAAAUCUGGACGGUACCAAAGCAGAAAGCCACGGCAAACUACGU
rnacentral:rRNA from 1 species